rnacentral:rRNA from 1 species
AACACAUGCAAGUCGAGGGGCAGCAUUCCAGUUUGCUUGCAAACUGGAGAUGGCGACCGGCGCACGGGUGAGUAACACGUAUCCAACCUGCCGAUAACUCGGGGAUAGCCUUUCGAAAGAAAGAUUAAUACCCGAUGGCAUAAUAGAACCGCAUGGUUUGAUUAUUAAAGAAUUUCGGUUAUCGAUGGGGAUGCGUUCCAUUAGGCAGUUGGUGGGGUAACGGCCCACCAAACCUUCGAUGGAUAGGGGUUCUGAGAGGAAGGUCCCCCACAUUGGAACUGAGACACGGUCCAAACUCCUACGGGAGGCAGCAGUGAGGAAUAUUGGUCAAUGGACGAGAGUCUGAACCAGCCAAGUAGCGUGAAGGAUGACUGCCCUAUGGGUUGUAAACUUCUUUUAUAUGGGAAUAAAGUGGUCCACGUGUGGAUUUUUGUAUGUACCAUAUGAAUAAGGAUCGGCUAACUCCGUGCCAGCAGCCGCGGUAAUACGGAGGAUCCGAGCGUUAUCCGGAUUUAUUGGGUUUAAAGGGAGCGUAGGUGGACAGUUAAGUCAGUUGUGAAAGUUUGCGGCUCAACCGUAAAAUUGCAGUUGAUACUGGCUGUCUUGAGUACAGUAGAGGUGGGCGGAAUUCGUGGUGUAGCGGUGAAAUGCUUAGAUAUCACGAAGAACUCCGAUUGCGAAGGCAGCACACUAAGCCGUAACUGACGUUCAUGCUCGAAAGUGUGGGUAUCAAACAGGAUUAGAUACCCUGGUAGUCCACACGG